CAUUUACUUAAACCUAAACAUCCUCUGACAUAAGAACACAGGAUGACCUCCCGUGUCCAUUUCUCUAGACCUACACAGAGGGCAGGUGGAAGGAGGGGUCCCUUGCAUUGUUCCCACACUCUUCUGGAGCCUGCAUGUGACUUCUCUUCUAUAGCAGAGUUGAAACCCUUCAGAGGUGGGAUAUCAGCAGAGCUCUCAAUGAGCGCUCACACACGCCUCCCUUGGAGUUAUAUUACACAUGGUCUGCUAUGUAAGGACAGACACCAGCACUACUUGCAAGGAAUUUACCAUGGAGUACCAGCACCAGCCACAGAUUUGUCCAGAUGCCAGCUGGAAGGCCUUGGAGGGGCUCAACAGCAGAUCCAGCCUCAGGACCGGUAUAUGUCAGCAGAGGGGAGAAGAGAGGAAACGACUCAGUCUAAUAGCAGAAGAGGAGGAGGCUGCCCUCACUCACCCCAACAGCUCUGGGGGAAGCGGGGGGCGAGGGGGCUGCCUGGUAAAGUGGAGUACCAUCUUUUGAUAAAGAGAAAGAACACGGGACACGGAGGGCAGCAAUGCAGCCACUUUUCUCAUCCAAUUCCACUCUGUCUCCUCUGGCCUAAACACCAAGUUUCCAACUUUAAAUAAAACUCUUGAUGUUUUCCACUA